AACGAACGCUGGCGGCAUGCCUAACACAUGCAAGUCGAACGAAGACUCCGGACUUAGUGGCGCACGGGUGCGUAACGCGUGGGAAUCUGCCCUUGGGUACGGAAUAACUCAGAGAAAUUUGUGCUAAUACCGUAUAAUGUCUUCGGACCAAAGAUUUAUCGCCCAAGGAUGAGCCCGCGUAAGAUUAGCUAGUUGGUGGGGUAAAAGCCUACCAAGGCGACGAUCUUUAGCUGGUCUGAGAGGAUGAUCAGCCACACUGGGACUGAGACACGGCCCAGACUCCUACGGGAGGCAGCAGUGGGGAAUAUUGGACAAUGGGCGAAAGCCUGAUCCAGCUAUGCCGCGUGAGUUAUGAAGUCCCUAGGGUUGUAAAGCUCUUUUACCAGUGAUGAUAAUGACAGUACCUGGAGAAUAAGCUCCGGCUAACUCCGUG
rnacentral:rRNA from 1 species